GUUUAAGGAAAGAAAACAACAUUGGCCUUCGCUGUCUGAUUCAAGCAAAACCAGAUAGCUGUUUAAAGUAGUGUUGCCGUCUGGAUAACACUGAUAGAAGGAAACCGAGAUGUCUGACAGCGAGGACAGUGAUUUCUCUGAUAACCAGAGCGAUAGGAGCAGCGAGGCUGAGGAGGUGGAGGAGAAUGAGGAUGAGGAGGAACAGGGGAGUGUAGCUGGCAGUGACAAGGCUGAGGAG